rnacentral:snoRNA from 1 species
UGAAUCCGUGAGGACCGCUGGUGGUCCGUGAGUCCCGGAGGGUGACUGGUCUCUGGAACUGUGAGGUCCAA